CUCUAGUGUGCUGAAAACUAACUGCAUCCGGCUAGCAACUAGUGACGGUUCCUCUGAAUUUCCUGUGACAGCCAUCUGCUCCAGCUGCAAGGUUUUCACCGGUAACCUGCAGCAUCAGUAUUAGCACAGCAUCAGUAUUAGCAACAUGUAUGAGAUUCUGAUAUAAAAGAAGAACACCGCUGGCUGGAGCUGCUCUUACCAUGCCAUUCCUUUGACAUAGUAAGCGUUUGCGAUUAGAGCACAAAAACCUUUCCACUGAUGCAAGACAUCAGCAGACACCGGCGGGUUAGGAGACCACCUGAUAACUGUUGGUUGUGGUGUGCACAGUAUUGUGAUGAAUACUAUACUGAGCCACAAAAUGCAUUCACGAAUCUGCAUACAAGAGUAUCACGGAGACCAAUGAUAAAACUACAAAGAUCUUAUAGGGGGUAUUUACAUCUCUCUUCAUAUGUUGCCAAUGAUAACUAGCGGAACUUCUUAUUUAAAAAAAAACUAGUGGACUUGAAAAUUAAUAUAAAUAAGGACAUAGCAUGUAAUCAAAGCACAUUUUUUUGCUAUAGUAACAACAUCAAAGAAAAUUUGCUUUAGUUGACUAUAAAGUGCAAAGUAAAUGUAAGACAGUAGAUUAUAUGAAAACAGUAGUAGUAUAGUAAAUCAGAUGAUGCAACUCAUAUCGAUUGGAGUAUGUUGACCUCAAAGGAGUGGACUUUGAACUUCAAGCUGAUUUCACCUAAGCCUUCAAUCUCAAGACCAGAAUCUUCAAUAUCCAUAAGUUCCUUUCUAAGCCCCUCAUCUGUACACCCUAGGGCAUAUGCGUUCACUCCAGCACUGACAAACUCCUGAUAACAAUGACAGUCACAGUAAUUACUAAUUGCUGCAUAUAAAAGUUAUGUAAGGGAAGAUUUCAACAAGAAUCAAUACUUCUAGGUUCUCUCCACCUCCUCGAUCAAUAACAUUCUUAUACCGCUUGAAUAAAGUGAUCGCUAUGUUACGUGAUGAGCGGAAGUCGUCAUCUGACGAAGCAUUAACAUGGAAUCGAUGCUGCAUACAACAAGAUGCUUAAGAGGGAAAAAAACAGUGAUUGAAAUCAUCAAAUGGAGGACAAGGAAUACCAGCCAGUGCCUUGUAGUUCUUUCAUUUAAACUUUUGCACAGGUGAUGGCUCACUCUAGUAAAGUUAACUUUGUAGCUAUGAACAAUGUGUGGCUUCUGUACAUGAUGGCCUUCCACUGAAUUGUAAACUGCACUGCAUCCUAAUUUACUAUGCAAAAUAGAAGCACCCUUUCCAGACAGUUUUAGGUCCCAGCAAGAACCGGGCCUCACAAAAGGAACAGUUGCUUGUAGCAUCAGCAUGACUAA
rnacentral:lncRNA from 1 species